ACUAUUUUGUCAGAUAAAUGUUUUAAAUUUAGAAUUUGAUUAUGUAAUAUAAAUUGCAAAUAGUA
rnacentral:tRNA from 1 species